UACGGAGGGUGCAACCGUUGCUCGGAAUCAUUGGGCGUAAAGCGCACGUAGGCGGACCGCUAAGUCGGAUGUGAAAGCCCUCGGCUUAACCGAGGAAGUGCAUUCGAAACUGACGGUCUUGAGUAUGGAAGAGGGUCGCGGAAUUCCCGGUGUAGAGGUGAAAUUCGUAGAUAUCGGGAGGAACACCAGUGGCGAAGGCGGCGACCUGGGCCGGAACUGACGCUGAGACGCGAAAGCGUGGGGAGCGAACAGG
rnacentral:rRNA from 1 species